AUAUUCAUACCUAUGUUUAAGACUUGAUAACUCUUUAUCCAUGAUCCAUGAGAUGUGAUCAUCAGUCUACAAACAUAAUAGUCUUAAUGCUUUAAUGUUAUUCCACUUCACACUAAAGCUCACUCCUAAUAUUCAUACCUAUGUUUAAGACUUGAUAACUCUUUAUCCAUGAUCCAUGAGAUGUGAUCAUCAGUCUACAAACAUAAUAGUCUUAAUGCUUUAAUGUUAUUCCAC
rnacentral:lncRNA from 1 species